rfam:Parcubacteria bacterium DG_72 WOR1_52_54_187, whole genome shotgun sequence.
UUAAAAUAUAAAGUAAAGCCAUAGACAGCAGGUUUACCCGCCGAAGCCUUGGCGAAGGCGGGCAAAUAAAUCCUGCCGAGGAUUAAUAGUUUUUGCUGUCUAUGGAGACAGCUUUUUUAUUAAUAUG